rnacentral:rRNA from 1 species
AGUGAACGCUGGCGGUAGGCCUAACACAUGCAAGUCGAACGGCAGCACAGUAAGAGCUUGCUCUUACGGGUGGCGAGUGGCGGACGGGUGAGGAAUACAUCGGAAUCUACUUUUUCGUGGGGGCUAACGUAGGGAAACUUACGCUAAUACCGCAUACGACCUACGGGUGAAAGCAGGGGAUCUUCGGACCUUGCGCGAUUGAAUGAGCCGAUGUCGGAUUAGCUAGUUGGCGGGGUAAAGGCCCACCAAGGCGACGAUCCGUAGCUGGUCUGAGAGGAUGAUCAGCCACACUGGAACUGAGACACGGUCCAGACUCCUACGGGAGGCAGCAGUGGGGAAUAUUGGACAAUGGGCGCAAGCCUGAUCCAGCCAUACCGCGUGGGUGAAGAAGGCCUUCGGGUUGUAAAGCCCUUUUGUUGGGAAAGAAAAGCAGCAGGUUAAUACCCUGCUGUUCUGACGGUACCCAAAGAAUAAGCACCGGCUAACUUCGUG